GGAGACAUUUUUCCUCUUUUUAUUAAUGAUUUUAUUUGUUUACAAUUCAAAUGAUAACCCCCUUCCCUCUUUCCCCUCCACACACUCACCAUCCCAUCCCCCUCUCCUCUUUGCCUCCACCCACUCCAGAUUCACACUGCUAUAGCAUCGCCCUGCACUGGGGUAUCAAGCCUCCACAGGACCAAGGGCUUCCCCUCCCACUGAUGCCAGAUGAAGCCAUCGUCUGCUACAUAUAGAGCUGGAGCCAUGGAUCUCUCCAUGCAUACUCUUUGGUAGGUGGUUUAGUCCCUGGAUGCUCUUUGUGGUCCAGUGGGUUGAUUUGUUCUUCCUAUGGGGUUGCAGUCCCCUUCAGUUCUGUCAAUCCUUUCCUAACUCUUCUGAUGAGGUCUUGCCUGUGUUUAGACAGAAAUGAUUCUGGGUUAAAAAUUUUGAUAUGGAUGGGUGGCCCAAUCCCUCAACUGGUGCCCGUGCGAAUCUACUGGAAGUGGUGUCUACAGGUUCUAUCUCCCCUUUGUUGGAUAUUUUGGCUAAUGUCAUUCCCCUUGGGUCCUGGGAACCUCUCACUUCCCUGGUAUCUGGGACUUUCUAGAGGCUACCCCCAGUUCCCCAUCAUCUGGUGCUACGUAUUUAUAUUUCCUGAUCCUCUGUACUUCUCUCUUGUCUCUUCCCAUACCUGAUCCUACCCACCCUUUUAUUUUGUCCCCUUCCUCACUCCCUUUUAGGUACCCACAAAGCAACUUCAUUGGAAACUUUUGCCCCAAGGAAUGGCUAAUAGCUUUCCAUUAUGUAAAAAAUUUUGUUGCUGCUUGGAAACAAGAAGUUAGGACGUUGAAUCUUUCAGUGUCUAUUGUUCCUUAUAUGGAUACUUUAUCAGCUGAUCCCUCUGAAGGAGUUUUUACUACAAGCCUUGUCUCUGAUACAAGGAGCUUUAAAAUUUUGGAGUGGUUGUUGUUCAAAGGCAGUAUCUUCUGGCCUCCUCCAAGGGGCUGGCUUCAAGUCUCCAGCUCUGCCCUUUGCAGCACUCUAGGCUCAGGUGGAUCCACUUCACUGAUGCUGCUAUUCUUGGAGAUCAUACCAUGGUACUGGCAUCUCUCACAAGUGUGGUCUUCUGCUGCAAAUAGGCCCCACCAAUAGCCUCUCAUAGGCUCGCUGUCUAUUAAAACUGAGGCUGAACCUUCACCAAUAGCCCCAGAUGCCCUGAUCUUGUCACCCAUGACUGCCAUGUGUGACACAGUUACACCCCACUUGUGACUCCUGACCCAAAGACACCCCAACCCUGCCCAAGCUCUGCUCCUUGGUGCCCCAUUCAACUCACAACCUGAACGAGGCCUUAUGAUGAUGAUGGGACACAGAGUGGUGAGUGACCCCCACCCCCCAACUCCUGGGAAGCCUGGGCCAAGGCAUGUGACAUUGGGCUGGGGGUGGGGGGGGCGAAUCCUGAUGUCACCAUGAAUCACUGGUGCAAGCGGUGGGGGCUAGGGGUCAGAACCUGGAGUGCCUAGUGGGCAGGGCUGAGGCUGGGUUGGAGUGAGGUGGACAGUGUCGAGGUCAUGUCAGGGUUACAGGACAGUGUCAUCCAGGGCACAGGGCAAUAUAGAGGUCAUGAUGGGAUCAAAGGUUGGGGUUUACAUAUGAUAUCCAGGUUAGGUGUAAAGUCGGUGUCCAAGUCAUAGGUCAGGGAUCACAUAGGUGGUUGUUGGUCACUGCCACCAGGGACUGGGAUCACCAAGCCAUCCAGGAGACCCCGGGUGAACUCUGGCCACCCUCCAGCCUCGCCCUCUCGCCCAGCCCCCAUGACAGCUGCCUGACCCAAGCCUGAGGGGGAAGAGAGAGGAGGAAGGGGGUUAAGUGGAGGGCCUGAGCAUUGGCUGGAUGGACCAGAAGGAGGACAGAGCAGUGUGUGACAACGCGUGACCCCUCGUGACCCCUAAGCUCUCCAACAUGGCCAUGCCUGCUGCUGGGAUCCUGCUGAGAGCUCGGGGUCAUUGCCCUCGCCUUCAGGCCCUGCCUCCCAGCCUGUCCCAUGGACCCCGCCCCGCCACACACAUAUGAACGUGCAUGAGCUCUCUGUCCCUUUGCCCGGACCCCCAUGUCCCUAAGUUGCUGCAGGCGCUGGAGGCGCUGGGGUGGGGCUGCUACUUCCAGUUCCCAUCCCCGGAAGGUUGCCCACUAGUGAUGAGCUCGUCUCAUUACAGCUCCUGACCUCACUUCAUCUCUGUCUCCCUCUGUGUGGCCCUCAGCUAUUGAAGACGCCUGGAAGGAGAAAUGGAAGCAGGAUCACUCAUCCAGUCAUCACUCCCAAAUCUAUAAGAAACUUCCAUAAGGAAUUUUCUUCUUUCUUCCUUCCUUCCUUCCUUUCUUUCUUUCUUUCUUUCUUUCUUUCUUUCUUUCUUUCUUUCUUUCUUUCUUUCUUUCUUUCUUUCUUUCUUUCUUUCUCUUUCUUUCUUUCUUUCUUUCUUUCUUUUUCUUUCUUUCUUUCUUUCUUUCUUUUUUCCUUCCUUCCUUCCUUCCUUCCUCUCUCUCUCUCUCUCUCUUUCUUUCUUUCUUUCUUUUUUUUCCCCCAAGAUAUAUUUAUUUAUUAUGUUUAGAAUUCUGCCUGCUUUUACACCCAGGGGCCACAAGAGUGAGCCAGAAUUCGUGGUCAUCUAUUCAGCCACCAAAGGAAGGUACAAAAUAUCACAGCACCUGCUGUAAUUCAAACUCAUGACCUUUGGGAGAACAGUUUGUGCCCUUAACCGCUAAGCUACCUGUUCUCAGUUUUUACAUUUGACUUUUGCUGUCGUGGUCCCCUCAGGUGACAAGAACAGGAUUGGGAAUCUGCGCAUGCUCAAUCGCCGGAGGCGGGUUUAAAGUCUUGUCUCAAGUAUUUUUCUUUUUGGAAGAAAUGAACAUUUUACUUAAACUUUAGAAGAGAUGAGAAAUAAAACUCACGUUUUCCUGGGGAGCUGCGAGCGAGCGCCACAACUCCAACGAACUCCUCCCCAUUAACCGCGCCAAACUGUGGUGGUAGGCUGGAAGCAAAAACCGCAUCACAGCUUUUAUUUUAAUCAUUAUUAUUGAUAAUUAAUAAAGUUCAACCUCUGACUCGCUGAAACCUGGAAAUAAAGUUUCUUCCUCGGUUUAUAAAUGACUUCCGGUGACCACAGGGAGAAAACAAAGACCAAGGAUCUCUCAGAGGCCAUGAAAUGAAUUUCUAACCUGGAGCCAGACUCGUGAUACUGAACAGCGGAGGAGUCUAGCCUCGGCACGGGAUCGGAGUUCUCACCUGGAAGUGGGGCUAUCUGGGAGGCACGUAAUAAACAGACACAGACUGCUUUUUUGGGUGCAAGCUGACAGGUGGUUUUUCAAGGCUUAGAGUUUCUCUCACUCUCUGCACUUUUUGCUUGCUUGCUCACAGCUCAAGGCUGCGCCCUCUGCUUUCUUCUAUGUGCUUUACACACAGGUGCCUCACAACACCACACACAUGCCUCACACAUGCUUCACACAUGUCUCACAUGCCUCACACUAGCCCCUACACAUACACAGCUCACAUGCCUCACAAAUGCCUCACACACACGCUUCACACAUGCCUCACACAGGCCUCACACAUGCCUCUCACACAUGCCUCACACACGCCUCAUACAUGCCAUACACACACAUACUCCACAUGCAUUCUCCUUUCACUCACUCACUCUCCACCUCCUCUUCUAAGCCUCUCUGGCCUUCCUCCUGUCCCAGUCUUUUAUUGACACUCCAAAAGCAGGUAGAAAAAAAGACACUGUAUAUUCCUUGGCAAAUCAAAUUCAAAAGAAUAACGGAAUCCCACAAGAAUCAGCAAUUACAAUUGUUCCCCAAAGUUUCUACCUUUCCCUAUUCCCAGGCUUCUGGCCAAAGUAAUAAUAAUUGCAAACUUAUCAUUGUUGAAACUUUAAAUUUUAACUUAUUCUACUUAAGAGCUCAAAGCUCUGAGGUCAGCUUGCAUUUUCCUGUUAAGCUCUUAUGAUAAAAAGGUAGGCAAAUCUGCCAGGCAUCAGCCAGAAAGAAUCAAGUCAACCCUUAACUCAGCGGUUCCACUGGCUUUCCACCUCAGCACACUGUACACAGUGACUCCCCUGAGAGUCCCUGUGCUCUGACUUAGUUUUACGAGUAUAAGAUUUUAAAUAUUCUAUACUUGUUCAUCCAGGAACCACUCUCAAAUGCUGUGCAAAACUCAUUUCAUAAGUUAUUUCCUUUACCGGAGUCCCGAUGUUGGCUCUAGUUCAUUUUCUAAUCAUGCCUCUCAAACGUUCUCUGCAAGUCAAGCAUGAAUCCGGAAUUGCCAUUGUGCAGUUAUUGCAUUGUUUCCAAAAUGAGAGCACAAGCAUGCACCCAGGCCUCAGUUUUUAAUCUUUUAAGAAUUGUGACAUCAGGGAACAUCUUGUUUCACAGAACUCACUGUAGUAGAUGGAGAAAGAAGAAAGAAAUUCGGGUAUAAUAGAAUUAUUAUCCACAUCAGGGGCAACUGAAAAGCAGUCAGACACGAAUGAAAUCUAUACAGACACUGUCCAGGUCUAAGGUUGGAAGACAUGGGAACAAACGAUUUUUACACGGAGCUGCCGCAGGCUCCUGAGAUGAUUCUAUCCUGGCCUGUUGCAGGCAGUCUCUGUCAUGGCAUGCUGUCCCCAGCAGGUCAUUUUCUGGGGAACCGUUCCACCCAAGUGUGCCCCCACUCAAGCCCCUGUGCCCAUAGCAUCCUGUAGGUGACCUCUCUCCUCCGUGUCUCAGACUUCUCAGCUCUCUCUGUCUGAGUCACAUCCUCAUCUCUGUCCCUCCCCAGUGAGAAUGCAUCUCUGCUCAGGCAGGCUCUGGCUAUUUUACACAGACUGUGAGACGUCCUGAGCCGAGUAGAGGACAGAGGUUCCCACGAGUCAUCUUCAUCUUCUGAGUCAUUGUUCACACUCACAGGGACACAGCCUGACAAUUCACCCCAUGGCUGAGCUCGGGGGACACCAACAACAGAGCAAGCAGGCCUCUGUGCUGUCUUUUCACGUUUUUCAGGGGGUCCUGUGGACUGGCUCCUGUUUAAAUGCCCACAGUAGGCCCUUUAUGUUCACAAUGUUUUGUGAAUUUAUUUUCUGAGUCAGAUUCCUCCUCUGAGGUCGGUUUCUCCUCUUGAGUCACCACGGCCCUGUCCUGAGCCACUUUUCUCAGGCUUUUCUCUGGAGAAAUAAACAUGUUUCUCAACCCUGAGAGAGGUCCUGGCAGCACAUGGGAGUCCCCACAGUCCUGGGCACCUGUGGCUUUUCUGUCCCCUGCCUGUGCCUUCCUCAGCAGGUUCCCCACAGUAGACGCUGUGAGGGGCAGGUCUGGGCCUCCAUUCCUUGUGAACUGGAUUUUAAUAUCUCACCCUGCUCUCUCUCACAAGUCCAUAUCUAACAUUCUGACAGAAGACAGUUAGGUGCCAGUGCCCACCUCAGUGCCUGUCUCUUUAAGAGUCUGCUCCAUAAUGUUUGUGAGGAACUCUGUCUUCAGACUCACUGUGUGCCAUCCUGAGAGAGGCCCACUAAGUGCACACACCCCAGAGCUGAUGGCUCCUGACCUAAGACCAAACUCUCAAUUACCAGAGAUGGAGAAACCAAAGUAUUCCACGACAAAACCAAAUUCACACAUUAUCUUUCCUCGAAUCCAGCCCUUCAAAGGAUAAUAACAGAAAAGAAGCAAUACAAGGACAGAAAUCACGCCUUAGAACAAGCAAGAAAGUAAUCCCUCAACAAACCAAAAAGAAGACAGCCACAAGAACAGAAUGCCAACUCUAACAACAAAAAUAAAAGGAAGCAACAAUUACUUUUCCUUAAUAUCUCUUAAUAUCAAUGGACUCAAUUCCCCAAUAAAAAGACAUAGACUAACAGACUGGCUACACAAACAGGACCCAACAUUCUGCUGCUUACAAGAAACCCAUCUGAGGGAAAAAGACAGACACUACCUCAGAGUGAAAGGCUGGAAAACAAUUUUCCAAGCAAAUGGUCUGAAGAAACAAGCUGGAGUAGCCAUUCUAAUAUCGGAUAAAAUCGACUUCCAACCCAAAGUUAUCAAAAAAGACAAGGAGGGACACUUCAUACUCAU
rnacentral:lncRNA from 1 species